AUUGAACGCUGGCGGCAUGCCUUACACAUGCAAGUCGAACGGUAACGGGCCUUCGGGUGCCGACGAGUGGCGAACGGGUGAGUAAUGCAUCGGAACGUACCUUUCAGUGGGGGAUAACGUAGCGAAAGUUACGCUAAUACCGCAUAUUCUGUGAGCAGGAAAGCAGGGGAUCGCAAGACCUUGCGCUGAUUGAGCGGCCGAUAUCAGAUUAGCUAGUUGGUGGGGUAAAGGACUACCAAGGCUACGAUCUGUAGAGGGUCUGAGAGGAUGAUCCGCCACACGGGAACUGAGACACGGCCCAGACUACUACGGGAGGCAGCAGUGGGGAAUUUUGGACAAUGGGAGCAAGCCUUAUCCAACCGUGCCGCGCGAGUGAAGAAGGCCUUCGGGUUGUAAAGCUCUUUCAGUCGGGAAGAAAUCGUGUGGGCUAAUACCCUGCAUUGAUGACGGUACCGAACCAAGAAACACCGGCUAACUACGUGCCAGCCGCCGCAGUAAAAC
rnacentral:rRNA from 1 species